rnacentral:piRNA from 1 species
UAUUUACAGGAGCAAAUUUUUAAAACCAACU